CUUGGACAUUUAGAGGAAGUAAAAGUCGUAACAAGGUCUCCGUUGGUGAACCAGCGGAGGGAUCAUUACCGAGUUUACAACUCCCAAACCCCUGUGAACAUACCACUUGUUGCCUCGGCGGAUCAGCCCGCUCCCGGUAAAACGGGACGGCCCGCCAGAGGACCCCUAAACUCUGUUUCUAUAUGUAACUUCUGAGUAAAACCAUAAAUAAAUCAAAACUUUCAGCAACGGAUCUCUUGGUUCUGGCAUCGAUGAAGAACGCAGCAAAAUGCGAUAAGUAAUGUGAAUUGCAGAAUUCAGUGAAUCAUCGAAUCUUUGAACGCACAUUGCGCCCGCCAGUAUUCUGGCGGGCAUGCCUGUUCGAGCGUCAUUUCAACCCUCAAGCACAGCUUGGUGUUGGGACUCGCGUUAAUUCGCGUUCCUCAAAUUGAUUGGCGGUCACGUCGAGCUUCCAUAGCGUAGUAGUAAAACCCUCGUUACUGGUAAUCGUCGCGGCCACGCCGUUAAACCCCAACUUCUGAAUGUUGACCUCGGGUCAGGUAGGAAUACCCGCUGAACUUAAGCAUAUCAAUAAGCGGAGGA
rnacentral:rRNA from 1 species